AGCAGCCGCGGUAAUUCCAGCUCCAAUAGCGUAUAUUAAAGUUGUUGCAGUUAAAAAGCUCGUAGUUGAAUUUCGGGGUUAGUAGGCUGGUCGUGCCACUGGUACGUACUGGUCUCACUGAUUCCUCCUUCCUGAUGAACUGUAAUGCCAUUAAUUUGGUGUUGCAGGGAAACUGGACUGUUACUUUGAAAAAAUUAGAGUGUUUAAAGCAAGCUAACGCUUGAAUACAUUAGCAUGGAAUAAUGAAAUAGGACGUUCGAUCCUAUUUUGUUGGUUUCUAGGAUUGACGUAAUGAUUAAUAGGGAUAGUUGGGGGCAUUAGUAUUCAAUUGUCAGAGGUGAAAUUCUUGGAUUUAUUGAAGACUAACUACUGCGAAAGCAUUUUGCCAAGGAUGUUUUCAUUAAUCAAGAACGAAAGUUAGGGGAUCGAAGACGAUCAGAUACCGUCGUAGUCUUAACCAUAAACUAUGCCGACUAGGGAUCGGAUGGUGUUAAUUUUUUAAUGACUCGUUUGGCACCUU
rnacentral:rRNA from 1 species